AAUUUGGACAAUGGGGGAAACCCUGAUCCAGCCAUCCCGCGUGUAUGAUGAAGGCCUUCGGGUUGUAAAGUACUUUUGGCAGAGAGUAAAAGGCAUCCCCUAAUACGGGAUGCUGCUGACGGUAUCUGCAGAAUAAGCAUCGGCUACCUACGUGUCAGCAGCCGCGGUCAUACGUAGGGUUCAAGUGUUAAUCGGAAUUACUGGGCGUAAAGCAUGUGUAGGUGGUUCGGAAAGAAAGAUGUGAAAUCACAGGGCUCAACCUUGAAACUGCAUUUUUAACUGCCGAGCUAGAGUAUGUCAGAGGGGGGUAGAAUUCCACGUGUAGCAGUGAAAUGCGUAGAUAUGUGGAGGAAUACCGAUGGCGAAGGCAGCCCCCUGAGAUAAUACUGACGCUCAGACACGAAAGCGUGGGGAGCAAACAGG
rnacentral:rRNA from 1 species